AGUAACGGCGAGUGAAGCGGCAAUAGCUCAAAUUUGAAAUCUGGCUCUUUCAGGGUCCGAGUUGUAAUUUGCAGAGGGCGCUUUGGCGUCGGCAGCAGCCUAAGUUCCUUGGAACAGGUCAUCAUAGAGGGUGAGAAUCCCGUAUGUGGCUGCUUGUCUUCGCCGUGUAAAGCCCCUUCGAUGAGUCGAGUUGUUUGGGAAUGCAGCUCUAAAUGGGAGGUAAAUUUCUUCUAAAGCUAAAUAUUGGCCAGAGACCGAUAGCGCACAAGUAGAGUGAUCGAAAGAUGAAAAGCACUUUGGAAAGAGAGUCAAAAAGCACGUGAAAUUGUUGAAAGGGAAGCGCUUGCAGCCAGACGUGCCCGUAGUUGCUCAUCGGGGGUUCUCCCCCGUGUACUCUUCUAUGGGCAGGCCAGCAUCAGUCCGGGCGGUUGGAGAAAGACCUGUGUCAUGUAGCUGUUUUCGGGCAGUGUUAUAGGGCAGGUGGAAUGCAACCAGCCUGGACUGAGGUCCGCGCAUCUGCUAGGAUGCUGGCGUAAUGGCUGUAAGCGGCCCGUCUUGAAACACGGACCAAGGAGUCUAACAUCUAUGCGAGUGU
rnacentral:rRNA from 1 species